CGGUGUCAGACGGCCCACUCCUCCUGCCAAGGAUCGUCUGUCGGAACACCGGCACUCCUCCUCCCAGCCGUUGUUUAAGUUUUUUCGGAAAGCCUGCCGCACCUCCUCCCGCGGCAGGCUUUUUCG
rfam:Beta vulgaris subsp. vulgaris contig103630.1, whole genome shotgun sequence.